UCUGCAUUAGUAGCUCCUGUAGAAUGUCUUCUGGGAUGGCGUAUCCAUGGUCAACAAAGCCAAGGUGCAAGACAGCAUAAGAGAUCGUGUAAACGAUGGGAACUCCAAAAGAUAAUCUGGACAAAUAAAUUAUAUUGUAACUGGAGAGUGCAAUCGUGCUUGGGACCCAUCCCAAUGUCAUCACAUGGCUGUGGUGACUAUUGUAUACCUGUACCUGGGAGAGUUUUCCUCAACUGAGACGGAGUGUAGGUGGAUGGAUUAUGAGAAAUGCGAAGAUGUGGAGUUCAAGGCUAGAUGCACUUCACAUUCGGCGUGCGAUCUCGGCGUCUGGGACCUGAUAACGUCUUGGUUGGAUGGGUAAUCAAGGACGAUACUACUCGGCG